rnacentral:rRNA from 1 species
UACGUAGGGUGCGAGCGUUGUCCGGAAUUAUUGGGCGUAAAGGGCUCGUAGGCGGUUUGUCGCGUCGGGAGUGAAAACACCGGGCUUAACUCGGUGCUUGCUUCCGAUACGGGCAGACUAGAGGCAUGCAGGGGAGAACGGAAUUCCUGGUGUAGCGGUGAAAUGCGCAGAUAUCAGGAGGAACACCGGUGGCGAAGGCGGUCUCUUGGGCCA